AUGCUUGGAGAAGUCUCCCCUCACACCCCCGCCUGCCUGGCCCUGCAAGCUCCUGGAACGUGGUCUCUCCGAGACAGAGACUUCCCAAGUGGGCAAAGAGAAGGGAGCUUCAACCGCACCACGGUGUCAGAUGAUGGAUCCAGAGACCCCUCUGCACAGGCGCUCUGGGCCAGGGGAGCUGUGCCAGAGCUGGGCCAGGCUGGCUGCACUGGGGACAGCAGGAUGUACAAAAUGCAGGUGGUCAGGCCUUGGCACUGUCUCUCCCGUCAGUCUGGAUGGGGCCCUGGGAGUCUGCAUGCAUUGAUUGGCUUAUUUAAUGUAUUUGAAAGGCAGAGAGGGAGAGAGCGGUGGAUUGAUUUUCCAUCUGCGGGUUUACAUUCCAAAGGCCCACAACAGGCUGGGACGCCAUCUGGGUCUCCCCCACGGGUGCCCCCCAGGGUGCUCGCCAGCGUGAAGGCGGACCAGAAGCAGAGAUGGGUCCCGAUCCCAACUGUCACACAGGCAUCCCGAGGGACGCCUUCAGUGCUGCGCCCAACAACCCGAAUCUGCAUUUAUAACCGGGCCUGCGAGGCGUUCUUGGCUCUGCCCCAAAGCCAGCUGGUCUGGGGAAGAAAUGAUGCCACACAUGUGUUUAGGGGCAGCAGCCAUCCUGCCGUCUGCCCCGCCACGACCCAGACUGUGCACUGGAACAAGCAGGGCUCCAGGUGCCUCACCUGUGCUUGGCAAAGCAGCAGCCAUCAGAGGCUCUCAAAUGAAGCAGCUGCUAACUACAGAGCAUCCGAGCCCCUAGAAGGGACCUCAGGUCACGGGGCCAAAUUCCCCGAUGGGCAGAAGGGGAGACCUAUUGUUCUCCACUACAGCAGAUCCAGGCUCAGCAGCCGAAGCCCUGAAGUCCCCAGCCCUGUGCAAGCGACACUUCCGCCUGCUCCCCUGGGAGGGGGCACGGCGCUGCGGGAAGGGCCCGUGUGCCUCUCGGAGGCGUCUGAGGUCCACGCCUGUUUGAGUGCUGAAUGUCCCCCCAAGUGA
rnacentral:lncRNA from 1 species